AAACGAGAAUCACAACCACCGACUAUGGGUUGCAGAUGGCGAUGGCAGGCAGCAACAACAAUGGUAGACAGCGACGGCAGUCGGUGUCAGUGACGACAGACCAGCACGACGAUUGAAGUUGUUCCACGAUUUAUCUUUGGGUCUUCAUCAAUUUGAGUCUGCUUCUGCCUCUCUCUCAAGUUUGUUUGUGGAUGAUGAUUUUGGUGUGGGCUGUGGAUUUCUGCCAUGAUUUAGGGCCCUUCUAAGGAUGGUCUUUACCCACUUUCCCUCUCCUCUCAUUCAUCCACCAUCCCCUGUGCCCUUACCACUGUGCACUCUCCUGCUUGGCAUCAUCGCCUUGGCCACCCAUCCUAUCCUAUGCUCUCUCACUUAACAUCAUCUUUAGGCUUUAAAGUUUCUCAUGCUUUCUGUAAGGAUUAUGCACUUCGCAAAUUCACCAAACUAUCAUUUACUAGUAAUAAAACUUUUGCCCCCUCUCCAUUUUUUUAA